UACGGAGGGGGCUAGCGUUGUUCGGAAUUACUGGGCGUAAAGCGCGCGUAGGCGGCUUUGUAAGUUAGAGGUGAAAGCCCGGAGCUCAACUCCGGAACUGCCUUUAAGACUGCAUCGCUUGAAUCCAGGAGAGGUGAGUGGAAUUCCGAGUGUAGAGGUGAAAUUCGUAGAUAUUCGGAAGAACACCAGUGGCGAAGGCGGCUCACUGGACUGGUAUUGACGCUGAGGUGCGAAAGCGUGGGGAGCAAACAGG
rnacentral:rRNA from 1 species